GUCGAGAAUCAUUCACAAUGGGGGAAACCCUGAUGGUGUGACGCCGCGUGGAGGAUGAAGGUCUUCGGAUUGUAAACUCCUGUCAUGUGGGAGUAAAGCCGGGUGUUAAAUGCAUGCCGGUCUGAGAGUACCACAAGAGGAAGGGACGGCUAACUCUGUGCCAGCAGCCGCGGUAAUACAGAGGUCCCAAGCGUUGUUCGGAAUCACUGGGCGUAAAGGGGGCGUAGGCGGCGCGGAAAGUCAGGGGUGAAAUCCCGGAGCUCAACUCCGGAACUGCCUUUGAUACUCCCGCGCUUGAGAACUGGAGGGGAGACCGGAAUUCACGGUGGAGCAGUGAAAUGCGUGGAUAUCGUGAGGAACACUAGUGGCGAAGGCGGGUCUCUGGACAGUAUCUGACGCUGAGGCACGAAGGCCAGGGGAGCGAACGGGAUUAGAAACCCCUGUAGUCC
rnacentral:rRNA from 1 species